rnacentral:lncRNA from 1 species
CUAAAACAAUAUUAUAAAACAACUAUACUGCAAUAAAAAAUUUUUUUAAUUAAAAAAGAAAAGUGUAGAGGGAAGUGCAUUAGAAACAGCAAGAGUGAUAGACCUAUACCAUUAACAUAAAUUAAAAAUACAUGCAGAAACAAAAGCACAUUAUAUAUGUCACACUCGUGACUUAUAUGUGGACAAAUUUAGGACACAUUAUACAGUGCCUCAGGGUGGAAUGGUGAAUGGGACUGAAGAUGGGGAAGAAAUUUAGGGGCCUCAUGGAAAUUCAUGAGGAAAUGCUGUCAUAACCUGAGGGAGUGACUUAAAAUAUCCAUCUCCUUCUACUCCUCUAGGUUAAUGAACCUGCUUUUCCUGGAUCCCCUUAAAACCCUAACCUCCCACGUUAUACUUAGGAUACCUGGAUUCAGCCGCCCUAAGAGUAGGAACUGUAUGGAUUACAAGGUCACUCCACUCUCAGUCUGGUGCCAGGUCUCGCCAGAGUACAUUUGAACAAGAGGUGCACAAGGACAACCCAAGUUCCCAUGACUACAUUUCCCAGAGCGCCCUGGUAAUUCUAACAAGAUUCAAGGGGUGGAGCAGUUUGCAAACCAAUGAGGUCUCUUCCUGGGCUUGUCCAGGAAGUGGGAGGACGGCAGUCAGCCCGGUUCCUGGUUGUGGGACCCAGGGGAGCUCGAGUGAACUAGGAAGAAGAACUAUCCUAAGUCUUCUGAAUUAAAACUGAGACUCAGUCUACAUUGAACUUCCUCAGAAAGUUCUGACCUCCUUCAAUCUGCUGACAUCCACGUCCUCCACCUGAAACCUCAAGCUCAGAAGCCAUUUAUACACGGGGUAUGUCACUGCUGCUUUUCCA